UACGAAGGGGGCUAGCGUUGUUCGGAAUCACUGGGCGUAAAGCGCACGCAGGCGGCUAUGUAAGUCAGAGGUGAAAUCCUGGGGCUCAACCUCAGAACUGCCUUUGAAACUACAUAGCUAGGAUUUGGAAGAGGGUGGUGGAAUUCCUAAUGUAGAGGUGAAAUUCGUAGAGAUUAGGAGGAACACCAGUGGCGAAGGCGGCCACCUGGUCCAAUAUCGACGCUCAUGUGCGAAAGCGUGGGGAUCAAACAGG
rnacentral:rRNA from 1 species